rnacentral:rRNA from 1 species
GAUCAUGGCUCGAGGACGAACGCUGGCGGCGUGCUUAACACAUGCAAGUCGAACGGACCUUGUUAGACUGAUUUUUCGGAAUGACGUUUUUCAAGUUUAGUGGCGGACGGGUGAGUAACGCGUGAGCAACCUGCCUUUCAGAGGGGGACAACAGUUGGAAACGACUGCUAAUACCGCAUAACGUAUCGAAGAGGCAUCUCUUUGAUACCAAAGAUUAUAUCGCUGAAAGAUGGGCUCGCGUACGAUUAGAUAGUUGGUGAGGUAACGGCUCACCAAGUCGACGAUCGUUAGCCGGACUGAGAGGUUGAACGGCCACAUUGGGACUGAGACACGGCCCAGACUCCUACGGGAGGCAGCAGUGAGGAAUAUUGGGCAAUGGGCGCAAGCCUGACCCAGCAAUGCCGCGUGAAGGAAGACGGUUUUCGGAUUGUAAACUUCUUUUAAGAGGGACGAUAAUGACGGUACCUCUUGAAUAAGCCACGGCUAACUACGUG